UACAGAGGGUGCGAGCGUUGUCCGGAAUCACUGGGCGUAAAGGGCGCGUAGGUGGCGUCGCAAGUCGAUGGUGAAAGCUCGUCGCUCAACGACGAGUCGGCCAUUGAUACUGCGAGGCUGGAGCACUGUAGAGGCAGAUGGAAUUCCGGGUGUAGCGGUGGAAUGCGUAGAGAUCCGGAAGAACACCCGGGUGGCGAAGGCGGUCUGCUGGGCAGUUGCUGACACGAGGCGCGACAGCGUGGGGAGCGAACAGG
rnacentral:rRNA from 1 species